CAAUAGCGUAUAUUAAAGUUGUUGCAGUUAAAAAGCUCGUAGUUGGAUUUGUGGUGUACUUCGGCGGCCCGUCACUAUGUGAUGGAGCUUGCUGAAGUCGCCAUCCUUGGGUGGACCCUGUGUGGCAUUAAGUUGUCGUGCAGGGGAUGCCCAUCGUUUACUGUGAAAAAAUUAGAGUGUUCAAAGCAGGCUUAUGCCGUUGAAUAUAUUAGCAUGGAAUAAUAAGAUAGGACCUUGGUACUAUUUUGUUGGUUUGCGCACCAAGGUAAUGAUUAAUAGGGACAGUUGGGGGUAUUCGUAUUUCAUUGUCAGAGGUGAAAUUCUUGGAUUUUUGAAAGACGAACUACUGCGAAAGCAUUUACCAAGGAUGUUUUCAUUAA
rnacentral:rRNA from 1 species